rnacentral:sRNA from 1 species
GGAAAUCUAUUUCCUCCAUACAGAAAUGUUAUAUUUUUAUAGAUCCCAUUUUCCUCAGACCUUGGCCAAAACUUACUGAUGCUUCCAUUUUCAGACAUUUUGUUUAUAUAUCAAAAGUUAAUUUACAUCUAUCACCAAAACUUAUAUGCUGUGUAAGAUAGUGCAUUUAAAAGAAACCGAAGGCCACACAGUGACAGUUAUAUUGUAUAUUUCAGUGUAAGCUCUCAACAGGUGCCCCAUGAAAGAGGCAGUGUUUGUUGACAGUAAAUACCACAAAUAUAAUCUGUUGAUUAAACUGCUAGAAUCAUUAUUUUAUUUUUCAAAAAAAGUUUUUUAUUUCAUUUUCUAAAAAGCAAAGAGUGGGUGAGGUUAGUCUUUUUCACUAAUUUAUUCAUAUUUCACACAGUCAUAUACACAUAUUAAAUGACCAAUUUUAGUUCCUUGUGAAAUAAACAUAAUUCCUUUUGAUGUACAAUAGUAAUGGUACUUAACCAACUUCCUGUAGUGUUAUGUUCUGUUAUUAUUUAUCAGAGGCUGUGGAACUGUGGUUCCCUAUAGGAAGUAAUUCCAUCAAAAAGCAGGACUCUCCCUCCCCGAGCCACUGACCAGCACUGUAGGACUCUUUUCAGAUUUCUCUAGAGAUGGGAAUUUUAUGAAUGAAAUGCUAGGGGGUUUACUGCACUCAGUUCUUGUUCAUUCCUAGGAGCAGUGUUAAAUCCGUCACUAUAUAGGGUUUAGGGACUUGUAUUUACAUCCAACAGGAUAACUCCUUGUUUUAUGGACUCACAUGUACAGCCAAUAGAAUGUUGGUUCCUGCUAAUUUUUAAUGACAUACAAAUGAUACAUCCAAUAGAAUGAGGGCUCUGAUUGACGGGACAAGUUGUGUUACUUUGUUAUGUUGUUGUAUAUAGCAAUAGUCAUUUAUGUUAUAAAAUUUCUCUUUUUUGUUAAUUGAUUUUUAAUAUAUAUAUAUAUUAGAUACAUACAUACCAAUUGUUACUUGAGCUGAACCGUUUUGAAUCCUCCCUGUUGGACAGUACUGAACUAUUAGUGUGCCAUUGUAAGAUAUUGGUCAGCAUUGGAGACUGUCCUGUUGAUGAACAGUGUGUAGUUUUUAAUAAACUCCUAAACAAUG